CGAAAACAAUGGAACACUGGUGAAUUUUCGUCCGAUUCCAUUGUAAAACUAACUUGUUUGUGUUUUACUCGAUUGUGAGUAUCGAAAUAUUUCAGUCUGAAAAGUGGGGAACACAUUUAAGUUGAUCUGCACGCAAAGAUAACGAAAUUAAAAGUGGAGCAAACGAAAAAGAAAGACUGUGUAGAUAACGGCAUAUAGACCCCCUAUAUGUAACUGGUUAGAUCUGAAUAAUUAUAAUUGUAUGUCGAAAUAUAUUAUGAAAGUUUUGUUUAAAAACUAUUGCUGCGAUUGUAUAUUUACACUAAGCCAAUGACUACGUGAACAAUGGUCCGUAAUAAUGCCGUUGCAAGAAAUCAGUACGUUUCACUGAACAUUUGAAGUAGUAAUGUUGAAUCAUUUAUGUAAGAGAUUUUUUACUUGAUUCGUUCACGAAUUGAACUACCACGUGAAUGCUAUGUUAAAUGGAAUAAUUUUGAACGGAUAAUAAAUAUCAAGAGAGAUAACAAAUUAUGAGUUAUACUUUUCGCAGAAGAGUACAUUGAUGAAUAUUUAUUAUAGUGAAGUCUGUAAUAUCUAUCUCUCCCUGGUAUUUUCAUGCAGUACAGCUAUUGGUCAUUAGAAACAAGAUUAUAUAAAUAGAUCAGGAAAAGUCAGACUGCGUUGAUAGCGCGAUAUGGUUAAUAGCAGCCAACUAUCUGGAAGGAUCUUAAACAAAUUGGAACAGAACCAAAGUAUUCACAUAUCAACAAGAACCUAACGUUUUACAUGCACAUUAUACACGCAAUGAAUAACGUUAUUUUUGUAUCAUAGUAAAAGUUAUCCACAUCGUUCGUAGGGAUGUCUUCUUAGUAAAUGGAAACUUAAGCUGCACAAGAAGAAGAAACGUAUAUUUAAUUUGUUUGAAAACUGUUCUAGCAGGCGUUAAGAUUGUUAACAGAUUAAGUAGCUGCCAUCAGGACACAACAACUGCGUCUUCGUAACACAGUCAGGAUUGCAGGAUUGCACAGUCGUCAUAGAGAUGAGCACCAUCGCACCCGUCAAGCUGUUGAUUCUAGCGUGCGUUCUGCAUGCCGUAUUCAUGCAGGUCACCUCGUAUCCAUCGACCGGUUUCUUCGACGUCAAAGAUUUCCGGCUAGGCGAUCAAUUCAUGGACAAACGAGGAAUGGGAUGGGGAUUAUGCGGCCGCUUCUUCAAGUGGCGCUGCGGGAAGGAAACCGCCGUGCAUCGAGACAACUAAGUGGCUGUCUGAGGACUGGACACAUCUACCGCGUUACAACAAUGAUUAGACAGCUAGAUACCCUCUUACACGCCAGUCACAUUAUUUCCUCCUUUCGUGUUUUAGUUCAGUAAAUAGGCCUAAAUGUACUAUAUAUGAAUAUAAAAUCCUUUUGUGGUGUGUGUACUUGCGGUCAAAGACCAUCAGUCAAAGUAUCAAAAUACCUAUAAUUACCGGUAUGUUUUAUAUGUACAUGCAUUUAAGUUAAAUGUAAUUUUUAUUAUUAUCAACAGCAGAAUCUGUAUUAUUUAAAUGUCAAUUGUCAACUCAAAGUGCUAGCCAGAUCUCUCCCUAUGUUGUUCAUAGUACUUGUGCAUGUAUUAGUAUUUUAUGCCAUAAAAUACUUCUACAGAAUUUAAAUAUUAACUCUUUGACUUCAGAGUAAAACAAAUAUCGCUUUCAUAACAAUUUUAUUUUAAUUUGUAAAAUAAUUCAUUUAAUGUUCAUCAACAAUAUUAUUAUCUAAACGUCUUCCAAAUGUACAACCUUAAAGCCCAUUGAAGAUAUUUCAAAGAAAUAUGUUGACUAUACUUAAAUUAAAUCAUUCUCAAAUAAACCUUAAUGUAGUAAAAUGGAUGUACAAAGAUGAAUAGAUGAUAUAGAUGUAAGUUUAAAUAAUCAACGCUUUUUCUUGUA